CCUAAAUACUACCCAGUGACCGAUAGCGGAUAGUACUGUGAAGGAACGGUGAAAAGCACCCCGGGAGGGGAGUGAAACAGAACCUGAAACCUUGUGUUUACAAGCACCGAAAGGACGUCAAGGUCCGAUCGGGUACUUUUUGUAGAACGGUCCGGCGAGCGUAUGUAACGAGCGAGGUUAAGGACUUCAGGUCUGAAGCCGAAGCGAGAGCGAGUCUGAACAGGGCGCACAGUUCGUUGCAUAGGGCCCGAAACCGGGUGACCUAUCCAUGUCCAGGUUGAAGUGGAGGUAAAACUCCAUGGAGGACCGAACCGACCUCCGUUGAAAAGGCGGCGGAUGAGGUGUGGAUAGCGGAGAAAUUCCAAUCGAACCCGGAUAUAGCUGGUUCUCCCCGAAAUAGCUUUAGGGCUAGCCUCGCAUAUAUUUACCGGAGGUAAAGCACUGAAUAGGUGAGGGGUCGAGAGAUUACCAACCCUUAUCAAACUAAGAAUGCCGGAUAAAUGAGUGCGGGAGUCAGACUGUGUGAGAUAAGUCUCACGGUCAAAAGGGAAACAGCCCAGACCCACAGCUAAGGUCCCCAAUAUAUGCUAAGUGGAGAAGGAUGUGGCAAUGCAAAGACAACCAGGACGUUGGCUUAGAAGCAGCCACUCAUUCAAAGAGUGCGUAAUAGCUCACUGGUCGAGUGAUGCUGCGCCGAAGAUUUAACGGGGCUAAAGCAUAUAACCGAAGCUUGGGAAUCUCUAGGGAUUGGUAGGGGAGCGUCGAAUUAGGGGUGAAGCAUCAGCGGAAGCAGAUGUGGACUUAAUUCGAGUGAGAAUGCCGGAAUGAGUAGCGAGAAUUGCGUGAGAAUCGUAAUGGCCGAAAAUCUAAGGUUUCCGUGGGAAGGUUCGUCCGCCACGGGUAAGCCGGGGGCUAAGGCGAGGCCGAAAGGCGUAGUCGAUGCACAUACGGUAGAUAUUCCGUAGCCGUCUAAGUUUAAGCACACUGACAUGUAUCCGGACUGUGACCCGAGCGUUGGUAGACUCGGGCGAAAGGGACUGAAAAAUAGUAGGGAAGCACAGGAAAGAUAUAGCGAGAAAAGGUGUGAGGAAUACGAAAGGCGCCCGUACCGCAAACCGACACAGGUAGAUGAGGAGAGAAUCCUAAGGCCAACGGGAGAAGGGUUGUUAAGGAACUCGGCAUAUUAACCCCGUAACUUCGGAAUAAGGGGUGCCACUGAAAGGUGGUCGCAGUGAAAAGGCCCAGGCGACUGUUUAUCAAAAACACAGGUCUCUGCAAAACCGAAAGGUGAAGUAUAGGGGCUGACGCCUGCCCGGUGCUGGAAGGUCAAGGGGAAUGCUUAGCGCAAGCGAAGGCAUGAACUUAAGCCCCGGUAAACGGCGGCCGUAACUAUAACGGUCCUAAGGUAGCGAAAUUCCUUGUCAGGUAAGUUCUGGCCUGCACGAAUGGCGUAACGAUCUGGGCACUGUCUCAACAGCCUACCCGGCGAAAUUGUAGUAC
rnacentral:rRNA from 1 species